GAGUGCGAUCAUACCAAAACUAAUGCACCAGAUCCCAUUAAAACUCUGAAGUUAAGCAUGCUUGGGCGAGAGUAGUACUAGGAUGGGUGACCUCCUAGGAAGUCCUCAUGUUGCACCCC
rfam:Beta vulgaris subsp. vulgaris Bvchr4_un.sca029.con0009.1, whole genome shotgun sequence.